GACGAACGCUGGCGGCGUGCUUAACACAUGCAAGUCGAACGAAGAGCGAUGGAAGCUUGCUUCUAUCAAUCUUAGUGGCGAACGGGUGAGUAACGCGUAAUCAACCUGCCCUUCAGAGGGGGACAACAGUUGGAAACGACUGCUAAUACCGCAUACGAUCUAACCUCGGCAUCGAGGAAAGAUGAAAGGUGGCCUCUAUGUAUAAGCUAUCACUGAAGGAGGGGAUUGCGUCUGAUUAGCUAGGUGGAGGGGUAACGGCCCCCCAAGGCGAUGAUCAGUAGCCGGUCUGAGAGGAUGAACGGCCACAUUGGGACUGAGACACGGCCCAGACUCCUACGGGAGGCAGCAGUGGGGAAUCUUCCGCAAUGGACGAAAGUCUGACGGAGCAACGCCGCGUGAGUGAUGACGGCCUUCGGGUUGUAAAGCUCUGUUAAUCGGGACGAAAGGCCUUCUUGCGAAUAGUGAGAAGGAUUGACGGUACCGGAAUAGAAAGCCACGGCUAACUACGUG
rnacentral:rRNA from 1 species